rnacentral:rRNA from 1 species
GAUGAACGCUGGCGGUAUGCUUAACACAUGCAAGUCGAACGGACUCUUCGGAGUUAGUGGCGGACGGGUGAGUAACGCGUGAGAAUCUGGCUUUGGGUUCGGGACAACCACUGGAAACGGUGGCUAAUACCGGAUGCGCCGAGAGGUAAAAGAGAAAUUGCCUGAAGAUGAGCUCGCGUCUGAUUAGCUAGUUGGUGAGGUAAAGGCUCACCAAGGCAGCGAUCAGUAGCUGGUCUGAGAGGAUGACCAGCCACACUGGGACUGAGACACGGCCCAGACUCAUACGGGAGGCAGCAGUGGGGAAUUUUCCGCAAUGGGCGAAAGCCUGACGAAGCAGUACCGCGUGAGGGAAGAAGGCUCUUGGGUUGUAAACCUCUUUUCUUAGGGAAGAACAAAAUGACGGUACCUAAGGAAUCAGCACCGGCUAACUCCGUG